UUAGACCAUAGUUUAAAAAAAACUAACACUUUGGGAGUGUUAAAUGCUUGGAUAAGUUGGUCUAAUC